GAGAGCUGGCCGGCGCCGACCCGGCCUGGGGCAGCGGCCGCAGCUCCCCGCCCGGGACCGCGCAAAAAGGCCCAAGGUCCCGGGCCGCACUCACCGAAGUCCAGGAACUGCUUCAUGGAGAGCGGGGACGGCGAGAAGCGCGCGUAGAAGUCCACCUGGCCCGGAACGCCGCGCUCGGACGCCGGGCUGGAGCCCGAGUCCGAGCUGAAGCUGCGGCUGAAGCCGGCGGCGCGCAGCCCCGGGCCCGGGCCGGCCAAGGCGGCUCCGCGAAGCAGCCGCGCCAGCCUCAUGCCGAGUCCCGCUAGAGAAGCCACAGCCAGUACGCCAGGUUUCCCCGCGCCUCUGCCGAGUGGGUUGAAGGCAAAUACUUGAAGUUGCAAUCGAAGGUCAAGAAAAUGGAAUCAAGAGGUCACAAUCCUUCUCUGAUGAUGGCUUAGAAAGCUGGAAGACACUCAACAUUGAAUCCUGGGGCUCUGUGCCAUGCUUGCUAGGAGAAACAGCCACCAUGAGUCCAUCUUUCAGAUCUCAAGUGAACAGGUAUGCAAGUCAUAGAAUUAAAUUUAUUUCAGCCGUGUGCGGUGGCUCACUCUUGUAAUCCCAGCACUUUGGGAGGCUGAAGCAGGCAGAUCACUUGAGGUCAGGAGUUUCAGACCAGUUUGGCCAACAUGCUGAAACCCCCAUCUCUACUAAAAAUAUAAAGGUAGCUGUGCAUGGUGGUGGGUGCCUGUAAUUGCAGCUACUUGCUACUUGGGAGGCUGAGGUGAGAGAAUCACUUGAACUCAGGAGGUGGAGGUUGCAGUGAGCCAAGAUUGCACCACUACACUCCAGCCUGGGCUAUGGAGUGAGACCCUGUCUCUAAAUAAAUAAAUAAAAAUAAAAAAUUCAUAUGUACAACCCUAGCUGCAAGGGAGUCUGGGAAGGUAUUUUUAGCACCUCAGCCCUUCCAACUAGAAAAAGUAUGGAAUAGAGCAAGCCAGUCCACAGAUAUGUAUCACAGUGGCUUAGGAGUUUUAUUAAUUUAUGUGUGUGUGUUUUCUGGCAUGAGUACUUGGGUUGUUCGUGGUAGGCACAGGCAAAGAAACACUGAGUUGCUGCUUGAGAAAGGAAAUGUCAAGUUGCAAAAGCUUCUCUUUAAGUCAUCCUGAACCUGUUCAAUGUGUUUGUUUCAUUACUGAUUUAGAUAAGUCUUUAUAACCAGAUCAACAUGUCACUGCUUCUGUGGGUCAGCUACUAGAACUGGCACAUUGUUUCCCAUUCCGUUGUAAUGCUAUUCACUGUCAUGGGAUUUUCCUUCUCACGGGGCAGGAAUCUUAAAAGCAUGGCCUGUAAGAGUAGCCUACAACAAAUGUCAGCUAUCCUGUCAAGACGGUGAAAGCUAUAUAUUUAGAUAAACAGACUUAACUGCACCCCAGUCAGUCCUUAUCCACACAUUUGAGGAUGUUAGGGGUUUGGAAGUUGUGUAGAAAGACAUAAGACAGUGUAAGCCUAGGUUAUAAUCUUAUUCCUUAUACCAUUAUACCUUAUGCCAUUUUACAGGUGAAGGAAUUAAGGCAUCAGGCAUUUAAACUUGCCCAGGUCAUACAGUAAAAAGUGACACAAUAGGGACUUGAAUAAAGACUGGCUCUAGAGACCCUUGACACCCAAAGAGUAAUCCAUAGAUCAGUAGUAUUGCAACACCUGGAGGUUGUUAGAAAUGUAGACUCUCAGGCUGUUUCCUAGACUGUUUAAAUCAGAACCUGAAUCAACAAGAUCCUCAGGUGAGUCUUAGGCAUGUUAAAUUUUGAGAAAGACUGCUCUUAACUUCUCUAAUUGAGACUUCCUGACCACCAGUGGCUUCCUCAGGUAAGAACCCCAGAACUUCAGUUCCAUCAGCAAUUUGAGGACACCUUGGCAUCAGGCAGUCCCCCAAUCUUCCUAUGGAAGAAUGCAUGUAUAUGUAUGUUUUUUGCCUUUACAUAGUCUUUCAGUCCAUGCAUUAUUGUGACAUGUGGGAGGCAGGAGUUUUCAAAUUUGUUCUUCCAGUGACAAACUCCGUUCUAACACACAUGGUGUAACUCAGGUGCAAGAUGAGCUCUGUGAGCAUUUCCUCUUCUGCACAGCAGUAAAGGUAAUAAGCAGUAAAACUGUGGCUUGCCUUCCCACUAAAGGAAACCAAAGAAAUCGAUGGUGUGUAAAGAACUCUGAGAAAAGGUUCAAAAAGAGAAUCUGCUCUUUUCACACUCUUCCAUGUCAGCGGGGAGAAAAACACAAAGAUUCAAUACCUAGCGAUUUCAAGAUGCUUUGUUGAUUAUCUUAACAUGUCAUCUUUCUGACCCCAACCGAAGACUGCAUUAUGGUCACUGUAUUAAGGGUUGAGACAGAAUUUAACAUAGAAAUAAGGUCACUCUUGUCGUUGUUCAGAAUGAUCUAUGUUGAUAAGGACUUUAAGAGGUUCAUCGUAUUUUUUUUUUGUAGUUAUAACACCCACUAGUAAGACUUAAGUUGGUAGACACUGAAGAAUGAGGAGACAAAAGGUUCCCGUGACAAUAAAAAUAAACCGUGUCUCCCCAUCUGUGAAACGAGGAAGUAGAACUAGAUUUCCAUGCUUCCUUCCCUUUUUAAGAUUUAUGGUUCUAUAUAAUAAACAAGGGUAAGUAUAAAAGUAACUAGUAAGCACUUCCAGAUGGUCCAAUUUUCUCUUUACAAGAACCUCUGGGCUGGGUAUGGUGGCUCACACCUGUAAUCCCAGCACUUUGGCAUGCCGAAGCAGGGGUGGAUCAUCUGAGGUCAGGAAUUCAACACCAGCCUGGCCAACAUGGCGAAACCCCGUCUCUACUAAAAAUACAAAAAAUUAGCCAUGCAUGGUGGCGGGCGCCUAUAAUCCCAGCUGCUUGGGAGGCUGAUACAGGAGAAUUGCUUGAACCCAGAAGGCAGAGGUUGCACUGAGCCAAGAUCGUGCCAUUGCACUCCAGCCUGGGCAGCAAGAGUAAAACUCCGUCUCGAUGGAGCCAGACUCCAUCUCAAAAAAAAAAAAAAAAAAAAAAAAAAAGAACCUCUGAGUGAGCACUUAUCUUACAGGCCAAGAAACUGGGCACAGAGAUAUCCGUAACUCACCCAAGGUUAUGUUCUAAGAGGAGAAGCUAAUUCACACCUGCAGCGUGGCUCCAGAGACAUGCCCUUAUGCACCGCUCAGCUGCCUCCCUGCCUAUAGCAAAUGCACCUCUAGCUUCUCAGCUCCUGUUACUGGUGCAGUGGAAGUACCACAAACAGGAACGAGGCAUUCCACACAGUGAGCAUAUUAUUUUGAUAAAUAUUCACAACAUCCAAUAAUCUCUAAAGUAGUUCUCAAUCCUGGCUGCACUUUACGAGUCAGCUGGGGAGCUUUAAGCAGCGCUAAUUUCUGGGUCUCACUCAGAUUCUCAUGUAGUCAGUGUGGCAGAUUGUCCAGCCAUCGGGAUUUUAAUAAAUGUAUUUCUUUGGUGAUUUAAAUGUGUAGACCUGCUUAAGAAUGACUCUAAAUUUUCUGGGAAUGGGGUUGUUCUGGGGGCAAGUUCUGCCCACAAAGGUUCAGGUAUUGACUUUAUUUUUUUUUUUGAGACAGAGUUUUGCUUUUGUUGCCCAGGCUGGACUGCAGUGGCGCAGUCUUGGCUCACUGCAACCUCUGCCUCCCAGUUCAAGCGAUUCUCCUGCCUCAGCGUCCCAAGUAGCUGGGAUUAUAGCCAUGUGCCACCACCACACCCGGCUCAUUUUUUGUAUUUAGUAGAAACGGGGUUUCACCAUGUCAGUCAGGCUAGUCUCGAACUCCUGACCUUAUGUGAUCUGCCUGCCUCGGCCUCCCAAAGUCCUGGGAUUACAGGCGUGAACCUCCACGCCUGGCCAGGUAUUGAAUUUAUGUGUCAAUCAUUGAUAUCUUAGGGUUUUAAAUUCUGCUACCUAUAAAAAGUGAAUUCACUUAUGCUUGUCAAUACCAUCUGUAGUUUCAGAUAAGCUUCCUAUAAAAGGUCAGAGCCAGUGUCUUACGUAUAUCCCCAGAGCCUAACAUCCCUAAACAUCUGUUUACUUCCAACUGGAAAAUAAUUAUUAAAUCACAUCCCUCUCACAAUGACAGGAUCUUAACAGAACACUCACUUAAAUCCACUUACUGAUUGUUGGUGAACUGAAAACUUAAAUUGCUAGGCUUUGAGAUAACAACGGUAGCACAUUCUGACACUGUAAUUUCUUGAGAUUUUUGGCACGUUUUAGAAGGCUGAAGAGUAAGAAAUUUAUCUGACCUCUCCUAGCAGGGAACUGUUUCCAUGACCCCAGCACAGGCAGCAUAACUGAGAGAUGCCUCCAGGGCAAGAGAAGAUUGAGGCACUUAUGCUUUGCUGACUGCUACAAAAAUUGCACUUGACCACUUGACUCCCUCAACUCUGGUGUAAUCAUCAACUAUUACCUGGUUAGUUUUGCCCUUUGUGGUGCCUGGUCCACCCUUGCACUGGGCCACACCAGUUUCCUUCCUCUGGUUUGUGUUUUACAGUUCAUUUACCCUGAGUCAAGAGGAUUUGGCUAUGAAUCCCCUCAUGAUUUUCCUCCUAGAUGAGGUCUAUUGGUAGCACCUCCACAGACCUGGUCUCAGCUCCUAGUGUACAGCUCUCCCACCUUCCAACAGCUGGAUGAGAUGCCUUUUGGAGCUGGCAAAACCUGUUUAAGGUACAGGAGAGAAAAAGAACUUGCUAUUAACCGUAAUCAGAAACUACGGGAAGAACAGAUGCCCACUAGCAUGCAAUAGCCACUCUUGAAAUCAUUCUGAAGUUCAUUUUCUUCACCUCUUUGACCCUCACCUUUUCCUCAUUCCAAGUGGUUGGACCCUGUCCUUUGGUCUUAAGGAACUGCUUUUAAUCACUUACUUUAUGCUCCCCAAAUUGAUCCAACAACUCUUCCACAUUUCUGUUUUCUCAGCCCUGUGGAUGUACUUAUGUGGAACCCAACCACUGACAGCGUCUCUUUCCCUCCUUGAAAACAAGUCUCUCAAUCCCGGCUUGUCUUCCCACAUUGUCCUUUUGUGGGAUAGUGUACUGGAGACCAGUUUCUCAUUAAGAUGUUUUCAUUUAGAGUAGAAGGCUUGAUCUUAUCCUUACUUCCCUGAUUUGGACAAUUUUUGAGACAGGAUCUCACUCUGUUGCCCAGGCCAGAGUGCAGUGGCAUGAUCAUAGCUCACUGCAGCCUCAAACUCCUAGGCUCAAGCAAUCUUCCCACCACAGCCUCCCGAGUAGCAAGGACUACAGGUGCACACCACCACACCUGGCUAAUUUUUAAAUUUUUUGUAGAGAUUGGGUCUUGCCAUGUUGCCCAAGCUGAUCUCAACUUGUGGUCUCAAGGAUCCUCAGCCUCCCAGAGUGCUGGGAUUACAGGCAUGAGCCACCAUGGCUGGCAGUCUGGACAAUCUUUAAAGCAUUCCCCACCUAUAUCAACACCACAUGCUAGAAUAUUCUCAGCCACAAGGGAAAAGCGUAAACCAUGACUAUGCACGACACACUGAAUUUGCAGCAACUAAUUUACAACCAAUAAUGAAGUAUCAAUGUUUGCAGUGAUUCCUCUGUGAAUCCAAAUAGAUCCAAGGAUAACCCUGUAAUAAUUCCACAAUCGCUGGUAGACGUUCCUGUAAUUUUUGAGAGGGAGGGGAAGUGUUGGAAUCACAGGCACUAUGACUGGAUGGGCCAUGACUUACUUACAGUCUGUGUUAUUUAUGCCAUAGCCCUAGUCAAACCACAGCUACUGAUAGGCUCUAUGAGGUUAUGACGAUUACAUAUUAUUGUAGUGAUUUAAUCUGGGUAUAUCUGAUAUGUGAACUGAGGCUAAAAAGGUUCACAGCCACUGGCCCAAAUCAUUAAGUGCCAAUCAAUCACAUAUUUCUUUGGGUGGUAACACCUGUUUGAUCUUCAAAGAACCAAGAAGGCCAAGAUUUUAUGUAAUGCCAAGUAUAGUGGAGAGCUAUUACCUAAUAUAUUAGACAGACAUUUAUUCAGGCCAGGGCACACUAUAUUGUCUAGGCAUUUUAUAUAUAUAUAUGUGUGUGUGUGUGUGUGUGUGUGUGUGUAUAUACGUAUAUAUGUAUAUAUAUAUUUAUAUAUAUUUAUAUAUUUAUAUUUAUAUAUAUUUAUAUAUUUAUAUAUUUUAUUUUCUUGUAUUAGGUUGUGAUAAUCCAGCUAGAGAAGUUUCAUAAAACUCAAAUCUAAAAUCUUUCUUUUGCUGAAGAAAAUAUUUUCUGACUAGUUGAUUCUGCCACACACGUCACAGCUAGCCUGCUCCCACAUCCAAAACAUAUUCUAAGAAGGAAGCAGCUUAGCUGUCAGAAUUUUUUUUAAUGCCAGGUUAUCAUUGCUAAGCAAUUCCCUAUCCUUACAAGGACAGGCAGUGAAGAGGAGGAUUCAGUCCAAAGACAACUCCCAAUUUGUAGGUUGUUAAAUACCUGUAGGUUUCUUUUAAUCAUAAAGAAGGAAAAUGAAAGACUUGAGGAUCACCUACAUAGAGCGAAAACAGAAAAAAACCCCGAAUCCCAUUGCUUUGGCACUAGUAUCUUUGGCUGAUCUGAGAUUACAUGAGACACCAAAAAUAAAAACACUGAACUUUGGUUUGAUGAAAUAGAUAAUUCAGGUUGUCAUUUAUAAUUUUAGAGUUUGCUUCACAUAUACAAUGCUGUGUUACGAAACAAUGAACACUUUUAUAAAAAAUUUAUUUCACACUUUUAUACAAAUAUCCACAGGUAAUUUCUAAUCAUGAAAUAAUUUUACAAUGCUAGUUAGUACAAAAAUGUAUCAAAUGCAAACAGACCAGUGACUUGACUUGAGAUGACAUUUUUAACAACCAUAAAUCUAAACACCAUAACAUCUUUGUUUCUUUGUUGAACCACCCUCCCAACACCCUUUUCAGGACAUUCAUCUUUUUUUUAGUAACACAGGUCUAAAAACACUGUCAAAGUAUCAGCUCCUUAGCAAUCUAGCAAUCUAAACACAUUAGGGACACAAGUUCCCCAAGCAAGAAACUGAGACUUUAAACACUGUUAUAACCUGUUUUACAGAAAUUUUUGUAAACAAAAUAUAUUUUGUGACUAAGAAUUCCAAAGUACAACCAAAACAACGUCCUUAGUAUCUUAAGGUUUAAGAUUUCCGAAAAGAAAAAAGCCCCCCCAAAACAACAGUGGCACUACAAACUGUGUUCUAUUCUUUCAAAACACAGACACUGCUUAUACUAUAUCCAAAACAAAUUAGCACCUGUUUGCUGUUGCUCCCCAUAUAACUUAACAUUGUGAAGCAUGGUAAUUAAAAAAAAUCAGCUUUCAUAUCUAUUCAGUCUCUGUUGAAUGUAUAGAGUAAUAAUUCCACCCCCUGCCAUUUUUACAAUUAAAACACAAUUUAAAGUUCUUGUUAAAUUAGCCCCAAAGUAAUUUUUGGGAAUACAGAUAGGGGAGGAAACAAAACAAAAAAUAGAACAUCGACUCACUGAUUAACUGUUUUGGUAGCAGAUUCAGUAGUCUUAUACUGGAUCAGUUUGGAUCCACCAUAGGCAUUCACCAUUUCUUUCAAGUCCUGAAUAUACAGUAUUUGCAGCAGUGAGUAAACCGCACUAGAGUUCAGUGAAUAAACCCAUUUUCUCCAAGAAUUCCUGAAUGUUACAGUAUGAAAUCCAGAAACAUUAUGCAGGCUUCUAAAGUAAAAAAUAUCCAAUGCCUGAAAUAAACAUCUUUACAGUUAUAAUUCUAUUUCUUAAACCUUUUGGGUUGUGGGGUGGAGGCUGUCAUGAAGGAGAGGUUAUAGUUUAUAGAUAAGUUAUUAAAACAACUCUCUCUGGUACAUUUAUAAAGAUUUUCUUUUUGCAGUAAAUAAUUUAGGUCAAAGUGAUGACCUCCCAUGCUCUAAUUCUGAUUGAUUAAACCAACCUGAAGGGUAAACUGGAGACUCUUUGGCCUGUUAGUCAAUAACAAAAUGGUUUGUAAAGAAAAGAAAAAAUAAAUACCAUAUACAAAUAAGUAUAACUAGCAUUCAAGUCUGUUGCACCUGUGUGUUUUAGUGAAAGGGAGAAUGAAACUUGUAUGCAUUUGACGUGAGCAGGUAUUCACACAGCUAGGAAACAGGAAAAGACGGUAGGAUGGCAACAUCACCUUCUAUUGCACAUUUAGUUUAAGACAGCACUUUCCGUUGAAACACAACUACCCCAAUGGCAUAGUCUUGUGAUGUGGGACAGCUAACGUGAUGGACGUCUGCGCAGCAGGCCCGAGGUUAGGACGGCCACUCUGUUAGUGCAGGUGAGUGUAGGUGCCUCCUCAGCUACACUAUCUGGAGGAUGUCACCUGAGUGCAACUGGGCAGGCCCUUCCCCAACACAUGAUGUAAGUCAGCCACGCCAAAAAUAAAGGCAACCCAGAAAGUUAAAUUACGGCAGUUAAAGAAAAAUCCAUUCCAACAGUUUUAAAUUUGGCUGUGCAAAACAGGAGCCUUAGGCUACGUAACAAUAUCCACAGUUAAAACUGUAGGUUCGUACUGUGUGUAGUCACUCUGAAAUCAGUCCUCAGGGAUUGAGCAGGCUUUUAAAUCCAAAUUGAAUUUCUGAGUUGGAAAAAGCAGUUUGGGUACUGUGAAGCUUUUUUUUUUUAGGCCCCCGCUAUGAGUAGCUUUCAUUUUCGUUCCACUUUGUGAUCCACUGUUUUUUUUCAAGGUUAUCAAUAUACUUUUCAUCUUUGAUCUCUCGCUCUUCUUUCCGGAUCCUUACAGCAUGGUAUCGGGGAACACUGUCAUCGUACCUAGAGCGUUUAAAGAAUCCACACUAGAGAAGAGGGAAAGAGAAAGAGAAACAAAUUAAUCUCACAAAGAAGCAAAUACACUAAAUGGGAAUGUCUAAGCUUUCUGUUCAGCUAUGUCUACCUCUGGACUAAGGGGAAAAAGACAUGGUUUUCUUUUAAGAAAGAACCAAGAGGCUGAAAUGAAAGAAGAGCCAGUGGGGAUCAACGGAAGAGAACAGCUGUAAAACUGGAAGAAAAGUCCAUUUUCAUCUUCUCUUUACAUUUUAUAACAAAUGUAGGCUACCUCUUUACUAACAAUUUAAGAGUUUAUGAAAACAGUGCUUCCAUAUUUAAAAAUAAUCACAAUAUGAUAUGUAAAAUAUCUGAUUAUCAGAUUAGAUUAAGAAUAAUUUUUAAAUGGCAUAAACCAAAGAUUAUUUCAUGCCCCUUUCCCACUAAUAAAAUGCAAAUCAUGUCACAAGUAUUUUACAAAUUACUAUUUGAAUAUGCCAGUGUUCCAACAGGUCAACUUUAUAAUCUUUUUCUCUCCUCUGAGGCUCUAGUACACAUAUCACUUCUCUCAUUAGCCAGGAGGUCAUUUAUGUUGCCUGGAUUUGCUAUUGUGCUUCUAAUUAAGCUAUUUCAUUAAUCACAUAGUAACUGUUUCCUGCAAUAAAAAUCAUGUGCUGCAUAGGACUUCAGAAGUGCAUCACUACACUGAAUUUCAGAGCACUCCCUAAUUUCUCUUCUUUUGCAAAAAUACAUUUACCUUUAAACUGUUAAUGUGUGUGUUUAUAUAUAUAUAUAAAAUUCAUUUAAAUAGUCAAUCUGAUCCAAAGUAUAUUUUUACUGAGAAUAUAUCUGAAAAAAUUUGAAUUGAGAUUAAAUUUUUAAAUGAAAUAUAUUUACUUUUUUUAAAAAAAGGUGUUUUCAACUUUAAAAUGCAGUUUAGAAGAAUGAGGAUAUUGAUAGAACUGUUAAUGUGUUUAUUGUGUGACGUCAAUAGUAACAGGACAUUUAUGUUGAAUGAUGUUAUGUUAUAAAAAUGCCAUGGAGCAAGAUAAAAUUAUAUGUAUAGUUAUCACUAAAUCAAUAGGCAAAAUGGACCAAGAUGUUUUGUUCCAGGUCAUUUCUACAUGGAUUCAUUUAUUAUUCUGUGCAAAAAAAAAGAAAAAAAAGCCAAAGUACCUAUCUAUUACAAAAUAUGACUGCUGUCUACCCCAUUUAAACAAAGAGGGAAAUUAAGGGUAAUAUGUAAAGCUGAAUGGCAAUGUUGUGAUUCACUGUGAUAGUGCCAUGGAAAGGAUUACAGGAGUAAUUCUGUCCUCUCAUGCCCACGUAAAUGGUGAAAGGGAUCACUAGCAAUUCCUAUUUCCAUGUAUUUCCAAAUAAGAGAAACUUGAAUUUAAAAUCAACUGAGAUCCAAGGUUGGAUAAAAUCUCUGGAUACAUGAAAUAUGGUCAAACUCCAUCACAACAUAUUGCAAUAAAAACUGUUCAGGGUAUUUUUUGUACUAGAAUUUUGUAGAUGGAAGGUAACUUUGGUAAGGGAUCAUCUUCUGAAGUUGGCCAUAAAAGCCCAUCAUGCUGAUAAUCAGUUUGUUGUAAUGGUCUUUGACCUGUAGGAGACAUGCAGGAAAUGGAAGUUGCAUGCUUAGCUAGCAUAAAACGAUUCCUGAGCAACAGUAAAAAGCAUUCCAAGCCUUCCCCAUCACUUUAUAGCAAAGAGAACAAAAAGAUGACAGUGAGGAAGCCUCACCAAGAGAAACACAACAUUUCCAACAUGCAACAGGUUAAUUAGGCGGUCGACACAGCUUCUAUCUGUGGAAAAUUCCAAAAUGGACAAGAAAUCUAGAAUGAUUUCUUAUGCAUCUUUGAAUUCCCUAGUGGAAUGCUACAUACCGAAUUAAUAACACAUUGCAAACUGGGCUACUAUGGAGGGCUAAAAGUCUCUUUUUGUGUGUACAAAUAUUGCAAAUUUUCUUCAUUGCUGUGGUAGAUAUUUAACAAGAACAUAAAAUAACUCACCUGCAACGAAAGACUGUGCAUUAAAAAAAACAAAAACUGAGCUUUCAAGUGAAAUAAAAUAAAACAAAUCCAAGCAAGGCAAGCCAGUGUGGACAUUUGGAAACAUCUGUUAAUGGGACACACAUAGCAAGCUGUUGUUCUUAAAGUUAGCCACCACAACCAUAGCGGGUCCCACAGCUAGCAAUUAAAAAACAUUGAUCAAUUACCAAUUACAGAAGUAGAUCAAUACUAUGCAUCAGAAGUAAGCCUCUCUUUAUCAGAUGGCUGAGCAUGGAUCUCAGCCUUGUGAUAUGUGGCAUCAUAAUGAUCUUUCUUAUUUCUCUUGAAGAAACCACACUACAAGGAAGCAAGGUAUUUAGUCAAUUUUACAGUUUUGUGUAUAAGAGCCAAACAACAGAACAUCUCAAAUUUUAAUCUGCCUUCUACUAGUGGCUUGUUUACAAACAGACCACUUUCAGUCAACCAACAAUGAACAGCCACUGCAUUGUUUCAUUGUCAUAUUCAAUACACCCUUCACCAUACAUCUCUGGUCAAAUAUUUAUAUGGAUGACACUAGUCAGCUCAUUGAUUUUUCUCUUUGUAACAGAAAUCUUGUGGACAAAAAUCAUUCUAAUAGGGAAAACGUAUAUACAUUGCUGAUUGUAGCUUUGGGUAGUUUCUUCCUGCAGGAGAAUAUGAACUCCAAAAGAGGCAAAAGAUUGACUUCGGCAGUUUAUUGAGACAAAGGUUAGAAAAUAAAUUCUCUAAAUAAAAGCACAAAUCCAAAUAAAAUAUAGAUAUACUAUGGGUAUUUUUCUGCCUUUUACAGUAAAUUUUAUGGAACAAAUGCCAUUUACUUGAGGCCUUUGGAUCUGUGGGGUGAAUCACAAUACAAAUUCGAAUACACCAUCAUGAAAGAAUGAUUGCUGUCAUUUUCCCAAACUCUGAGCACCAUAAAACCCUUAAAUGGUAGGGACCCAAUGCUCCUCAGGUUAGGUCACUCUAAAUGAGUAUAAAAGUAUAAUUCCACUUUCUACUAUAAUUUCCUUCGUUCAGUGAUAGAGAACUUUUCCUAUUUACUUUUAUCUAGUUCAUAAGGCCAUGGAACUGUCUUUUAUAAAAUUUAACCUGGUCAAAUAAAAUCUCCUGAAAAACUCUGAUUCCUAGUCCAGCAACUCAUGAAGGUAAAAGCCUAGAUUCACUUUGUACAAUAUAUGGGAGCUGCUGGCUCCGUGAGGCUAUUCAGAUUGAAAUUAAUUUAAAUUACAUUUAAAACUCUGUGCCUCAAGUGAACCAGCCAUAUUCCACGUGCCUAACCGCCACACAUGACUAAUGGCUACCAUACUGGAUGCUGCAGCUCCAGAACAUUUCCAUCAGUAUAGAGUUUUGUUGGGCAGCUUUCAAUAAUAUGUGCUAGUAAAUAGGGUGGGAAGAAGAAUAAACCAGGAGCCAAGAGGCCUGGUCCUGCCUCCAACUUGGCAACAUUCUUUCCUUUUUUUGAGACAGAGUCUCACUCUGUUGCCCAGGCUGGAGUGCAGUGGCACGAUCUUGGCUCACUGCAAGCUCCACCUCCCAGGUUCACACCAUUCUCCUGCCUCAGCCUCCCUAGUAGCUGGGACUACAGGUGCCCGCCACCAUGCCCAGCUAAUUUUUUGUAUAUUUAGUAGACGCGGGGUUUCACCGUGUUAGCCAGGAUGGUCUCCAUCUCCUGACGUCGUGAUCCACCUGCCACAAAGUGCUGUAAUCCACCAGCCUCCCAAAGUGCUGGGAUUACAGGCAGGAGCCACCGCGCCCAGCCAGCAACAUUCUUAAUAUCCCUGGUCAUGAGCAUCUUUGUUAGCAAAAUGAAGGUGAUUUAGACCAGCCCAAGGGACUUUUUUUUUUUUCACCUGCAAACAAAAUCCUGUACAGAAUCCUGAUAUUUAAAAUGGAUACAAUCUGAACUACUGUGGUUGAAGUAGGGAUCUUCAUCCUGCCUAGUUUAGCUUUGCCCUCUACAUGGAUAUACAAAAUCCAAUUUAAGGGCCAUUGAACUGUAGUUCUGACCCUAAAAUCCUAUGACUUUAACAUAUUAAAUAAUUCAGUUGAAUAAAAGUAUAAAGUAAUAAAAAUGCUUCUCAUGUGGGGUUGUAUAAGUCGUAUUUUAGAGUCCCCUUGACAGCCUGGACACUUCAGAGCUUCAAAAAAACAAAAACAAAACAAAAACUCCCAAAAUAAUGAAAUCAUCUAAUAAUCCAAUCAACUUAUUUAACAGACGAGGCAAACAGAGGCCCCAGGGAGAUGGAAUGAUUUGACCAAGAUUAUAUACAGCUUAGGUUUCUAACUUUAAAUCCACUGCUGUCUCACCCUCAUUAAAGGCUGCCAAUGCUCUGAAAAAGACCAUCCUUAUGACCUCUUCCAGAAAACACAACAUCAUCCUCAAAUAUCAAACCCCAACUUUAGUUUUUGAUAUCAAAAUAAUUUUCAAGGCCGGGUGCAAUGGCUCACAUCUGUAAUUACAACAAUUUGGAAGGCCAAGGCAGGAGGAUUGCUUGAGCCCAGGAGUUGAAGACCAGUCUGGGCAACACAGCAAGGCCUCACCUUUAUGAAAAAAAAUUUAAAAACUAGCUAGAUGUGGUGGCACGUAGUCCCAGCUACUCAGGAGGCCGAGGUGGGAGGAUUGCUUGAGCCCAGGAGGUCAAGGCUGCAGUGAGCCAUGAUCACACCACUGCAAUCCAGCCUGGGUGACAGAGCGAGAGACCCAGUCUCAAAAAAAAUUUUUUUUUCUUCAAGGCAUCUCCUUGAAAAAAUGUUUUAUAUUGACUGGCUGUGUGUGCCAGAGGAACCUACUGCCCGAGGUAAACAUUAGAGGUAAAACUGGCUAAAACUCCAUACCAGGAGGAGUUUUGUCAUGAGCUUCAAUCCCAUGUCUAGAAGACAUCAGAAAAUUAUCUCAAAUUUGCAAAAGUCAGUCAAAAAAAAUAAAGCAAAAACAGAUGCUCAAUAUUUGCAAGUAAGACUAUCUUGAACCCUUAUGUAUUAUAUUUUUGGAUCCAAUGAAAAGAAAAGGAUAGUCUGAUCCUAGGGGGUUGAUGGUUCAUACAGAACCCUCCAGACCGGACAUGUUUGAGAAUCCAAAAUUUUUGUCCUUUAAAAUGAGUAAUGCACUGCAUACCUAAUGCUACUAUAAUCAAAAUGUUAGUAUUUCUGCAGUGAAAUUAAUCAUAAAGGAUAAAGACUUCGAAGUAGCCUCUCUUCACAUCACGUCAGGUUUUAUUGCCAAAUAAGUCAUUAUAUAUACUUCAAGGUUUCAGAGCUUUUUGGAAUGGCAGAUAAGGGACUGUAAGCCUCUAUCACUCACUGGGAAUAAUCUAAAAUUUUUAGGUUGUAAUCUUUGGGCAAUAAGAGUUUGUAUCCAUCUCAUACGCAGUUUUUCAUAAUGUAGACUCUUUACUGGUAGAAUCAGGGGAAGAUAUUACAUUUUAUUUACAGUCAAAGGGCCAAAUUCUAAUGAGGAACAUCAUAUUGAACCUAGACCUUCCUUAUGUUUGAUACACGCUAUAGUGACCCCCUUGAGAUAGAGUUAUUCAUUCAUGUCAUACUCUUCUAUUCCAAAUCUAGCUGUAAGCAUAACCAACACCAAUGGCUGCUAUGAACAUUCUUCACAGAAACUGAAAUUAGCAGGGAUACACAUUCAGAUUAUUACUACACCCUAACAAUUUGGCUUAGAUCCAGACUUAUAUCUUAGGUGAAGAAAAUGCUAAAGUAAUAAAAUCUAAAUUUGUUAUUUGCUAAACAUGCUAAAUUAUGUGUGAGAGACAAAUGAAGAAACUUAUUGUGUACAAAUAAUAUACUUUAAAUACAAAAUAUUCGGUAAAUAUACAGGUGUUCAUGGUAAAAUUUUCCUCAAAUUUGCUAUGUCAAAAGAGUUUCAUAAUGUUAGAAAAAAGGAAGCAAUGAAAAAGAAAACGUACUAUCAGUGCUGAUUCCCAUUUUUUAAAACAUGAAAUAAAGUUUGUUAUGAAAUUCAAAUGCCAGAUAUGACUUACCUUCCAUAGUAUAAACACUAAUAAAGCAAGCAUCAAGAUCCCAGCGAGAAUAGCCACUAGGAUGAUCCACCAAGGUACUCCCGAAUACUGAGCUACAGUCUUUGAGGGAAACACAGUCACUCGAACCUACAGGGCAGAAAAGAAAGCAGCAUUACUACAUACAGCGGCAAGAGUUCACACCAGGAGUUUAUGGUUCUAAUUCUGCUUUUGAAUAUAUUUUGGACAAUGCAGCCUGUGAAUGGAUGAGAUGACUUUCUGAUGCAAGAUCCUUUCUCUUAACAGAAUAUUGCUUCAAGAGACAUUCCUUGAAGAUCUUUCCCCAGAAUCUUGAAAAUGCUGGGUUGUAUUCUGACAAAGUGGUUACUUCUUUGUUAAUGUAUCUUAAAAAAAAUUUGUUAUCAACACAAGUAAACUGUAUAAUGAACCCUUAAGUAUUCAUCAUCCUGUUCCAGCAAUUAUCAAUAUACAGCCAGUCUGUGUAUCUAAACAAAUUGCUCUCAAAAAGAUACCCAGUUAAAUAGAUCUAACAGCCAGUCUGUUCUAUCUAUCUAACCUGGUAUCUUUUUGAGAACAAUCAUACUUUUUUUUUUUUUUUUUUGGAGACAGGGUCUCACUCUGUUGCCCAGGUUGGAGUGCAAGUGGUGUGACCAUGGGUCACUGCAGCCUCAACCUCCCAGGCUCAAGUGAUCCUCCCACCUCAGCUGCCUCCCAAGUAGCUGGGACUACAGGCGCAUGCCACCACUCACAGCUAAUUUUUUUAAAAAUUUUUUUGUUGAGACAGGGUCUAUGUUGUUCACAAAGUGCUGGCUUCAGGUGAUCCUCCUGCUUUGACCUCCCAAAGUGUGGGUAUCAUAAGUAUGAGCCACCUCACCUGGCCUAUACUUUCUUUUAAUUAAUAUUCAGCAAUGGAAAGAAAAGGGCCAGUUUAGGCAAAAGUAGCCAACAUUCCUCAUUCAGACUUUAAAGAUGUUGUGAAAUACAAAAAUAGGGAUAGGGCUGCAUGACUGAUGGACACCAUUUUACCUUUUUCUUAGGAUAUCACACUAAAGACCCUCAUAAACAAUAACAUUUCCUGAAAUGGCUUGGUGCCAUCUUCUACAAAAAGGUAUAUGAACAAACUAGACCCUGGACCCACUCAGAGGCAGCUUAGCGCUUAAGUUGCUCCUGCUGCUGAGAAGCUUAAACUCUAAACAUAGGAUAGUUUGCAAAUAUCAAUUAAAUAGAAAUGGUGUUUACUCAGAAACCUAAAAAGCUGCUUCUGGCAAUUCCAACAACUCAGUUACAUGGGUUUAGAAUGCAAAUGAACUUUUGUGAUACCAGGAACUAUUUUUCAAAGCAUGCUAAAGACCUGGUGAUUAUUGUGAACAUGAUUUUGUAAACUACACUGAUUAGAGAUCCACUGGUUUGAAGUUUCUGAUAUUUCUGAGUUAAGAGAAUGUAAAGUAAAGGGAAACAAAACUCAGGGGGAGCAUUUAACUUCUGAGAAGUGUUUUCAGUCAAAUAUUCUAUGUCCAUAUUGAACCCUGGAUGCUGCUAUGUCUACACUGUGCUUCAAUACUUCUAUGCGGUGGUGUUUUUCUUUAAAAAAAUCUCUCAUCAAAGUACUUCCCUUUCCACUUCUAGGAAACAGUUUCUCAACCUCACCUGACUUACAAAAAAUACUUAAAAGCAGCAAAACUGCUUUUCUUUAAACAUUCAAUAGACAGCAAUCACAUCUUGAGAUUUAGCCAAUUAUACUGAUGGUAACAGGCAGGCAUAAAACACCUUUAUCAGCCACCAUGUUUCCUGUUAUGCUCUAAAUGAGGUUUUCUACAAGCUCUGAGCCCCAAGGUGGCCUCGUGGCUCACUUCCCCUCUCCUUCCCUCCCCUGACAGGGAAGAGAUUACUGCGUUCAGCACAGGGACAUCUACAAAGAAGGGAAGAAGAAACAGGGACAGACCAGUGAAGCAAUAGAAUAGUUACGUGGUUGUCAUUCUCCAGCUGGGAUUGAGAACAAGGGGAAGCUGGCCAUAGAGCCAGGUGACCAAAGAUGGAAGACAAAGGGUGGGCUGUGAUUCCCAGAGCUCCAAGCCUUGUUCUGUCUUGUCACACCAACUGUUACUGAUGAACAGGUGAGUAGAAACUACUGUAGAGCUUUACAACUCCAAAAAUAAUUUCUUACCUUUGGUUUCAUUACAAUGUAGUUAUUUCCAUGGGGAUGACGCACACCUGUGAAACUCAUCCACCAUGUGCCCAUAAGGGGAAGAGGGAUAUAAGCUCUGUUGAUGCAUUAAAUUCGAUUACCAGUGAGCAGUGCUGAGACUACAUUAGCUUGUCAACUGCCAAAAUACCUUCUCUAAAUUACCCUGUAAUGUACCACCCACUGUUCUCAUUGAACUUCAUUCAGUACAGGAAGUCACCCAAUGAAGGGAUUUUCGUAUCUUUUACAAAAUUAUCUAUUAAGGACAUCAUCCACUCUUGGUGUUUAUCAUAUAACAGGCCAUCUUAUAAAAGGAUCCGUAUCUUAAGUUGUUCUCUGAAUUUUAAGUUGUUCUCUGAAUUUAGAGCCAAAAGGGAAAAUCUUAUUCCCCUGAAGAAUUAUGCAUUUUUUUGGUCAUUUUAAAAAAAAUUUUGACAGCCAGGAAGCUUGGAUACUCUCUACUUGCUUCCUUAGGGAUAAAUGGGGACAAUAUAAAUACAACCAAUAAACAAUCCCCCUCAAUUUCCCUGGCUAAUUUGACAGUGUUUUCCUGGUUCUGUCUCCUACAGCAUGACAUUCUUAACAGUUGACACUGUAUCUUACCCAACUUUGCAUCUCUAACAUUUAGCACAGGGAAGGCAUACAUGUGUCUUUCAUGGGUGUUUAUUAACAAGAUGGAUUUAAUUUAACUGAUGCUAAAAUAUAGCAUGGCUUACCUGGCUCAAUCAUGUGACUUCUGCUCUCCCUGACUUCAUUAUAAUAGUAUCCUAAUUUAGAAGUGUUUUUUAUUGUUUGUUUUGAGACAGGGCCUCACUCUGUUGUCCUGGCUGGAGUGUAGUGGCACACUCUUGGCUCACUGCAGCCUCGACUUCCUGAGCUGAGGUGAUCCUCUCAGCUCAGCCUCCCAGGUAGCUGGGAAUACAGGCAUGUGCCACCCCACCUGGCUAAUUUCUGUAUUUUUUUGUAGAGAUGGGGUUUUGCUAUGUUACCCAGGCUGGUCUCUAACUCCUGGGCUCAAGCAAUCCGCCUGCCUUGGCCUCCCAAAGUUUAACUGUGUUUUAUUAAAAGAUGAACACAAAACUCUUGAAAUUCGUGGGGUUAUAAAGAAACAAAAAAGUUUUUUUGCUUUUUUAAGCCAAAUUAAGCUUAGAUCUUCAAGCCCAGAAAAACUACAGCUCAAACUACUCAAGAAAUGUGCAGAUAUGACAUCUGAGCUAUUGUAUGUCAGAAAUCACAGAAAACAGAAAAGGUGUCAGAAGACUAGAGGUUAAGAAAAUGUCUCAAUUUUCAAAAGACAUGGGUUCUAGAUAUGAGACCAGUAACCCAUUCACAAAUCUACCAAUUUGUGAAGACAUCAAUUCCCACUGGGAGGCAUGAGUUCUCCAAGCUCUAAGAACAUAAAAUGCCCAAGAGAACCUCACUUUCAUUUGUGACCCAGUCAUCAGACUGGACACCAGGGCCCCCAGAGUUCCAUCAUCUUCCAGAAGAAGACAGCACUUGAAGAGGAGACAUCAGACCCAAGGUCUGGUCUCAGCUCUACUUGCUGGUCGGGUGACCCUGACGGGGAGAUACCUUUCCUUGGAUUCAGUUUUCUUAUCUCAAUUUGAGAUUUGGGGACUUUAAGGGGACCAAGUGCCACAGAGUCAAAGAACAGAAGCCCUGAAGUCAGACAAUUACAGGUUUCAAUUGAGGGUCUCAAAUUAUAUCCCCUCUCUGAGUCUGCUUCCUUGUUUGUAAAAUGAGUACAAUGUUUACCCUUGGCAUUCUUCUGAAGUUUGAAUGAUAGAGUAUAAAGUAUCUAGUAAGCUGCAGACAUUUUAUUAAGGCUUCAUUAAUGUUAGUCCCUUCCCUCUAAAGUGUUCUCUGUCUAGCUCUGAAAUCUCAGUGAUUUUCAGAGUUGCUGAUUUACAGUUAUAGAAAGCUAUACCUGCUGCCUUUAUAGAUGCAGAGAAAGGAUCCUUAGGGAAGGUGUGGUUUAUUUGAAAGUCCCUUAUGAUGCCUGUUGAUAUGUCCUGGAGAGACCGGGACAGUGCUGGUUGAUACCACUUAUCGCAGCAGCUUGCCCAGUACAGCAUUUGUCUCAGGCAAAUGUAUCCUGGGGCUGGGUGCAGUGGCUCACACCUAUAAUCCCAGCAUUUUGGGAGGCUGAGGCAGGCGGAUUGCUUGAGUCCAGGAGUUAAAGACCAGCCUGGGCAACAUGGUGAGACUCUGGCUAUACAAAAAAAACUGAAAAAUUAGCUGGGCGUGGUGGCAUGCCUGUGGUCCCAGCUACUCAGGAGGUGAGACAGGAGGAUUGCUUGAGCCCAGGCAUUCAAGGCUGCAGUGAGCUGUGUUUGCGCCACUGCACUCCAGCCUGGGUAACAGAGCAAGACUCCAUCUCAAAAAACUAAAUAAAAACAAAAAUGUAUUCUUGCUUGGAUAAUAAAUCGUAAGGACUGCUAUAUUUCAGAAAACAGAAUGAUUAGGGAGGCUCCCUGAAUUUUCAGCUAGCUAAAUGACUGAAGCCAGAACAUUUCCAUAAGUAGACUGGCAGAUUAACUUAAGAACAGUAAUUCACAGUAUUUCUUUCUCCAGUCUCUUUUGCAAAACAUUCCCAUUCAUUAUUCCCACCAUGACAUGCAGUCAUUCUGCCUCGAGAUCUUUAUACAAGUCCCUGUGGGUUCUAGACUCCCACAGGGAACCCCUCACUAUUGGUUCACUACAAGGUUCUACACCUAGUCCUAUUCAACAUAUUUGUCAUUACCUGGAUGAAGACAUAGAGAACAUGCUUCUCAGUUUUUAAAACUUUCAGGGAUAGAAAGUUGAGAAAGCAAAUGAUGAAGCAAGAUUCAGAAUUACUUUGCAAACUGAAACAAUGGACCCAAAGCAAAUCACAUAAAAUGUAAGGAUACACUUAAAGGCAUACAUUUAGAUUUUUACAAAUAGCUCAAGGACAGGAUACUGGAAACACAGCUUGACAACAAAUUCUGAUGAAAACACCUGGAAGUUUCAGUAGAACACUAACACAAAAAUAGCAGCUGCUAGAAAUUCAAACAUGCUGCUCAGCAAUGGUUUGAAAAAGCAAAUUUUAGGCAGGUCUGACAGAAGUGUGGUGCCGAGAUGCUGAGAGGUAAAGGCCCCAGGGUAAGUGGGACCAAGCAGACCCCACCUCAGCUGCUCUGUCCACGUGGGAAUCAAAUUGCCCAGGAAGGGAGAGGCCAGGAGCCAGUUCAGCUGUGCCCAAUGUGACGCAUAACUCAAGAGCUGGGUGCAUAAGCUCUGAGAAGAAUAAGAAACAUCCAAGGAGGCAUGACCAUUUCCUUCAAUUAUUUGAGAGGCUGCUACAUGGCCAAGAGAGAGAACUUAUUUUAGACUUGUUUGAGGGGCAUAACCAGGGACUUACAAGGUUCAGUUCAGGAGUCAGCUAUGAAGAGAUCUUUUUUAAUAAUUACAGCUGGCCAAGGGAUGGGCCAUCACUGGGGCAUUACACCAAUGGCUGCAGCAUUAGAGAUGGUAGAAGACACAGGUUUCUAGAGGGCUGUGAGGUGCACCCAUUCUCUGAAUUGAGCCAGUAGUUCUCAAACCUACCAUGGGCACUGCUGAACUGGAUGACCCUAGAUUUACUUCUUUUUUUCAAUGAUUCUAUUAAAAUACAGCUUGCAGUGCCAGUACCUUAAGACAGUUUUCUCCGUAAUGGGGCUAUGAGGGAAAUGAGCACCAAAGCACAUGACUUCAGGACAUGAGUGUGGGGUACAGGGAAAAGAGACAUGUUCUGAACCUGAAUGAAGCUGGGGAACCUCUCACCUGAGUGCCUGCAUUUGGCAGCCUGAUAUUUUCGGCAGCAGCAGUCACAUCAAUGAAGGCUCGCAUGAGAAUGUCCAAGUAGUUCAGUUUGGAAUAUUCCUGUUUGGAGACAGUGAAUGCAUUAGGGAAGUGAAAAGUGUCCUAGGCAAAGGCAAAUUACUUCCAUGGGACAGCCUCAAGCCAAGGUCAUACCUCUAGAAAUGUGCUGUUCCAUAACCUCGAGCGCAAAAUAAGAGACGCCUUGCUGUCCAGCCCCCGCAGCGGGCAUCUGAUGUUCACACAGUUCACGUUCACGCUACAGUUCUAGAGAGAAAAAGAAGAAUGGUCAUCAAAAGACAUUGUUCUGAAGAAAUCCUUCCCCUCAUCCUCUCAAAUAUUCACAGCUCUUGAAAAAUACUUACAAGAGUCUGGUAUUUUCUUUCAGCAAAUAAAGAAAAUUUUCUGUUAUCAUCUAUCUGUUUUUCAGUAAUUUCCCGUUUCUUUCUUGAGUUGUGAGACUCCUGAAAAAAAUUAUAUCCAAAAUAGUUCCAAUUUAUGUAAUUCUUUGUCAUUACCAUACAAGCCUCUUGAGCAUAUCCUCCCAAACAGUGCCAGAUUCACAUAAUCAACAAUAUUUGCCUCUCUCCUGCCAAAGGCACAGAAGUAAGUGUAAAACCAGCAAGUAUUAUCACUCUAAAUUCAAGUUUAUUGAUUUACUCAUAGGACUAAGUAAUUCAUUCCCACUCUGACCUUAAAACUCAGAGAAAGAGAAAUAUGCUUUCUUUGUUCCUCUGUAUCCCCACCAAACUGUGGGCAUACUGAGAUCAGAGAUCAAAUCUUAUUCCUGUAUCCCUAGCCUCCAGCUCUGUUCCUAAAACAUGGUAGUCAGCACAUCUUGAAGGAAUAAGUGACACUGAAGAACAGAGAAAGAAGCAAAAAGACCCAUUAUAUAGCUCAUUCAGAGCAGAGCAAUGAAAACUAAGCCAUACAAGAACUUUUAAAAUUGCAUUUUCCUUAUAGCAAAGAUUAGUAAUAACCGAUUAUCUUGAUUUUUAACAUUGAUGAGUAGAAGAUCAUGCUAUAAGCCACCAACUCUGAUCACUGAUCAUACCCAGUCACCUUAGAAUUUAAAAUAAAAGAAAUAAACAUGCAAACCUUCAUCAAACUGGAACACAAAUGAUAGGCCAGUUAUCUAAGCAUGGAGCAGUAUAGAGAGAGGGGUUAACAGUACAGGCUUUGACAUCAGGCAGAGCAGGGCUUGUAUGUGGAAUCUGUCUCUUAACGCCUGAGUGACUGAGAGAGUUACUUGCUCUCUGAAUCUUAAUGUCCUCAUCUGUGAAAUGGUGAGGAUAAUGAAACGCCCUCAUAGGACCAUCCAGAGAAUGAAAUGAGAAAAUGAAAACAAAAUGCUUAGCAUAGUUCCUGAGACACAAUGAGUACACAAUAAAUAAUUACUAUUUUAAAAAUAAGCAUAAAAAGCUUUCAAGGUUACUUGCUGAGAUGCCAUUAUCUUUUCCAAUGAGUUUGGUUCUACUUGGAGUGAACACUGGCUGGCCCCUGGAUAACAGCAGCUACUAUUACCCCAGGAGCAUCCCCCAGUUCUCCUUAUUAUGUAACAUACUGGGUCAUGAUGAAACAUCAGAAAAUACCAUUUGCCUCAGCAAGCACUGAAUGACUCUGCCUUAUGUACUAUAAUGGUCAUUAACCAGCAAAAAUGCCUCAGCCUCCCUCAGUUACCCAACUAGAAAAGAGAAAUUGUGACAACCAAAGAGAAAGUCAACCUGCCAGAAUAUGCCACUUUCCUAAGAACAGUAAUGAUUUUCCCCUAACAAGUUAGUUUCUCUAAUUUGCAUUUAUGGAGACAUUAGAUAAAUCUACCGACAUACCGUUAGGUUCAGGGAGUUUAUCUCCUUUUGUGGCUCACAAGUUACCUUUUCCAAUCCUUUGGAUUCUACUUUCACCAAAUAAAGCAACCAUUUCCCAUUGCUAAUUUCUUUUGGCCACUGAAUGUUCAAGGUUGCUGUGCCGAGGUUUGUAAGAGGUUUACCUAAGUUUAUUACCUGUUAGAAAAUAAUACAUAUUAUCUCAGUCUAAUCUUCUCAAUGUAAAUUUAAGUAGCAGCUCCUUUUACCAAGAGAAAGAAGCUAAAAUAUCUAACGUAAUCCUAUAAUAAAAGCACAGGCUCCAAAAAUGGACUAUAGAUAGGGCAUUCAAAAUAAAGACUUGUGCCUAAAGAUUUUUGUAAAUAAAAACAAAAAGGUCAAAGGACAACUGAUAGCUAACUCGUUCUAGGAACAACUGCUGUAUGCAACAGAAUCAGCAGUGUAGAUAUACCAUGUUCUCAACAUACGCCCAGGGAAAAUCAUGUGUGAAUUUGUGAACUGCCCUGUAACCACCCUGCUUGGCCAAUGACAAGUCCUGGGCCAAGGCAGUGUACCAACAACCUGCUUCUGGAAAACCCCAUCCACUGCAAAAAUGAAGCUGCCUCUGUCCCAGAGGAGAUUCUGCAAAACCAUUAUUAGGACAGCCAUGAAUCUGAGAGUCCAAGCUGGGAACAGAGUGACGUCCUGCGGCAGAAGCCAAACACAGGAGGUAAGAGCCCUCUUGGUGUCGAGACUGUUCCAGAACCCAAAGACUUCUUUUCCAGCUGCACCUGCAUAGAGAUCAUAACCACCACCACCACCUGCCCCAGCUGUGUCUAUAAUGCUAAGAGACACACAGAGGAGAAUUCAGCCUCUUCAUUCUGCCGGAGUCAGGUGGGCCCAUGCUUGCCAUUUGAGGCUUUCACCACAGUGGUCACUAUGCCUUCAGGAAUGUGAUUUCAGCCACACAGACCUAAACCCAUGUGUGAGUUACGAACAGACUCUGUACCCUAUGUUUAUGUUUAUUCAACAGGACAGAGAGUCACUGUGAUUGCCUACUUUGAAAUGGUUCAGAGCCAGUCACUGCCUUUCCUACAGGCAUAUACCAAAUCUACAUUCACCACAAAAACUGGGCUUGUGAAAGGUAGGCAUACAUUAAUAUUCUUUCAACCACAAGCAGUGAGAAAGAUGACCUUAUAAAGGAGGAAGGAAUAAAUCAUAACGCAUUCUAAACUGAACUGGAUUCUGAACAGUGACAAUUGUUCUCCAUCCUGGAGGAUAAAAUUUUUACUAUAAGCCAGUAUGUUCUUUAAAAGCUGGCAAACUAAUUUUUAACUCAUGAUUUACUUACAAUGCUUAUUAAUAUUGCUGAUUUAUUAAAAUGACAUACUCAAGACCAUACCUAGUAUAUGUCAGCUUUUGGUAUAAUGAAAAGACCAACUGCUCCAACUUACCCUGAAUUCAUACUCUAUUAAACUUCCCACUUCAUCUUCAGAUUUCAUAGCUUGCUCGCCAACAACUGUACCUCCAAAAUACACCUGGGAAGGUUUAGCAACUCUGUCAAAUUAAAAAACACCAGUUUUAAUGAGGAUUGUAAAUGGUUCUUUCAAACAUUGAUUUGUUAUGCUAAACACAAACACUUACCCCGAGACCGAUAAAAGCAGUUCAAUAACCACUUUUGCUUUAGCUGUAAUUGGAGCCAAAUUAUCUUGAUUGCUUGUUCUGAAAAUGAAAAGGAAACAAUAGGGUUGUAUUUUACCAGUCAGUUUUCUCACUACAAUUAGACUUCUUUUAUGAGGUAGAUCAGGGCCAAUUCAUUGACUGCCCAUAUUUUCAUGAAAUAAUUCUGAAUGGAGAGGUUGAUGUAACUCUUACGUUUCUAACUUCAGAUUAAUAUCCAGAUCUGGGGUGUCAAAGGUGACUUCAGUUGUACUUAAAACCAAAUAAAAAGUGACCUAAAAAAACAUAAAUAGCUGUUAACACAGGCCAUGCAUACAGACACUGCAAUGGUAUUUAAAACAGUAAAAUACAGUAUAUGAAGGCAUCACCUACAUUUGAAUUUCUUUUAAAAGGAUUUCCGAGCUCACAGUCAGCUUGCGAGCCAUUCUGGUUGGCAACACAACUCAACUGUUUCUCCUGUAAAAGAAACACACGCUAGGUCACAAUCCACUCAUUUGCCACACAGUGUUGAUUUUUUUCCCCUCUCAGCUGGUCUCUAACAAUACUUACAGGGAAAGCCCUCAGUUCUCUAUAUGCAGAAUAGGUUAAAGUGUCUGGAAACGUUGCAAUCAGUUUAGCCUCAUGGGCGUCAUCGCCAUCUUUUGUGGGAUUCCUUGGGUUGGAAGGGCUGUUUGUCACUGUUAUUUCUAAAGCAAUAUCCUUCUGAUCUUUUAGAACUAGUUCUGGUACACCUUUUUGACUAUUAAAAAUAAGAAAACAAGAACAAAAAGGCAAAGUCCUCAAUACGUUUCCAGUAAACUUUCUUAACACAAAGCCACCAUGAAGCCAGAAUCAUUUUUGCUAGUGCUACACAACGAUUCUUACAUUGGUAAAUAAGAAAAUUUGUCUUGAUUUCCUUCUCGGGUGCAAAAUUUAUAUUCUAGUUUAAGGUUGCUGUUACAUACAUUGUCGUCUCCACAUCCCUCUUUUAAGAAGUGAACCUGUAGGAAAACGAAAACUAUUGUCAAUUUACACCAUUCAGGACUCAGGAAGGCAUCGAUGUAGGUGACUGGCUAUUCCACACAGUUCAUUUCCCUGUGUGACAAUUACCAAUGCAGAAUUCAAGCUUUAAAUGUACUUUGCCACACAUCAAAUUUCCAUUCUGUCCUUUAGUAAAAUUGUGUUUGAAGAACACUUUGACCAGGGCAUGGAGGCAGUGUGGUAUAGAAGAGUGUGACCCAGCAGCCACACAGAUUUGGGUUUGAAACGCAGCUCUACCCCUUACUUAGCUAGCAAGUCACUUAACCUUUCAGAGUCCAAGUUUCAUCAUAGGUAACGUGGAGAUACCACCAUUCUAACUUUAUAGGGCUACUAUAAGAAGUAUCAAUAAUAAUGAUGAUACCAACGAUUAUAAUACUCGAUUUACAUAUCUUAACUCAUUUAAUCCUCACAACAGGCCUCUAAAAAGAUACUAUUAUUAUGAUCUCCAUUGUAGAGAUGACGAAACAGAGAGCUUAAGGUCAGGUAAGCAAACAGCAUACUAGCACCAUGCCAAUGGGUUCUUGAUAAUCACACCGAUAAAUAGAAAAUCAUCUCUAGCUAUGGAGCUGGGAAUGUACACAAGUAAUAUUAACAUGAUAAUAAUAAAAGUACAUAAAAGUAUACAGAAAUAUAAGGAACUAUAUUUGGUGACAAAAAUGAUUGACAAUAUGCAGAUGUAAGCAUCAGCUCCUGAGACAGUGAGGACUCACUUCUGCAAAGCUGCCUCAGUAAGGCACCAGUACCAGCAGCCCCAUAGUGGACAGACACUCAUCAUCAAUUAGUUGUUUUUUUUUUUUUUUUUUUUUGGAGAUAGAGUCUUACUCUUUUUGCCCAGGCUGGAGUGCAGUGGUGCCAUCUCGGCUCACUGCAACUCCACCUGCCGGGUUUAAGGCAUUCUCCUGCCUCAGCCUCCUGAGUAGCUGUGAUUAUAGGCAUGCUCCAUCAUACCCGCUAACUUUUGUAUUUUCACUAGAGACGGGGUUUCACCAUGUUGGCCAGGCUGGUCUCAAACUCCUAACCUCAAGUGACCUGCCCGCCUCGGCCUCCCGAAGUUCUGGGAUUACAGGCAUGAGCCACCACACCCGUUCAUCAUCAAUUAGAUUUUGAAAGCAAGAACAUAAUGCCAAAUCAAGCUGUCAUAGCUGCCCGGGCUAACCUUGCACCUUAACCAUCCUAAACCCCUAGCAAACAGACCCCACCUCAUAUGAGGUAUCCCACAGGCCAUCUAAUACACAUUUUUCUUCCAAAGAUGACUUAGGCUAUAUUAGGCACUAAAUGACUACUGUAUGCUAAUAAUACUUUUUUGCUUUGCUGAAUUUUGAUAUUCCUUGAUUUUAAUGUUCUGACUAGCAACACACUGCUUUCUACAUUUCAGUAUUCUCAAUGGUAAGUAAAACACAAUGUAUUUUUCUUUCUAUGUACAGCUAAAGGAGAAACAGUGUUAGAAUAUAAGCUCUACCAUUUAUAGUCUCGAUAGGUUAUAAUGGCCAAAAAUGAAGAAGGAAAAUACGCUCUGGCCCCAAAUUGUAUUUCAUGUUUUUAUGUUUAUUGCUAAUUUGGGAAACAAGUCUUCUCUAACUUUGCGUACAUUAAAAACAUAUUAACACAAAAGAAUGGCCUUUAAAGCAAAUCACUAGUUCUAUUCCCUUCAAAGACAUUUGAUUUAGCAUCAUAAAUGGCAAAAAAACUUUGGCAAAAUGAAAGUCAGAGAGACUUACAUCAAUAUGAGCUGUCUUGGGUUCAUCUGAAUUCAGAAUUGGAAGAACUUCUGGAAGUGAAUUCACUCGCCUACGAGAGCUUGGCUCUUGGAUCUCCACUGAGGCAGUUAUGGGAAUGGGACGCAGUUUAUCUCUGAUAUUAUCCUGCAUGAAAAGCAUGCAGUCAGAGUUAAGUGGGGUGUACAUGCUAUUGGGGAAUUCCAAAACAAUGAUUUUGUAUUGAUUAAGAGGUUGCCAGAAUAAAUUUCAGAAAUCUGUAUAUCACCAUAUAACCUUUUUCUGUCCUCUUCAUAAAACAGAUGUGACCAUCUGCAGCCCUCACCUGUAGCCACAGGGUUUCCUCCAUGCACACUUUCUGUUUCUGCCUCUUCAGAGUUAGUUCUUGAGUAUAUUUGGGCUCAGAACCUUGGUUUCGAAACUGAACUCUUGAGGAUAGCCCAGAUUUUCUUCUUUCUUUUUCAGCUUCAAGUGUGCCCACAAUUGCUAGAUAAAAUUAAAAUCAUAUUAACGUAAGUGCAUUCAUGCACAAUCCAGCCACAAGCAUGUUGAACUCCUUUUAAGAUUUUAAUUCCUUGUAGAAAACAUUGCCAUUGUUUCUCUUCAUAUUUCCUGGUAAUAUGCAUUUGCACAAUUGUGAUGGUUCAAAUCAAGCUGUCUUUUCCUUCCUUUUGCUGUUAACAAUGUUUCAAAGUUAAAUUUUCAUUGUGCCACCUGGGGGAGCUCAAGAAUAAGUUAAAACCUUUCAGCAGCAGCAGUUAUUAAGAAUCAGUUUCUGGCUGAAGUUCAUGAACCCACAGAAUACUAACGAUAAGCAGAGGAACCCAACACUCCCCCGAGCACCUAAACUGAUUUUCUCCCUUUAAACCAGUCAAUGCUUAUUCAAGUGGCCUCGUGCCUUUGCUAUCUGGGAAAGAUCUCUAGAACAGCAGCAUCUCCUGAGGGCCUGUGAGGAUGCAGAACCUCAGGCCCAGUCACACCUACGGAAGCAGAAUCUGCUUUAUUAAUAACAGCAUCACCAGAUGAUUCUUAUACGUAUUAAAGUUUUAAGAAGCACUGAUAAAGGAUAGUUGUCUAAACAGAGGAAUAAUAUAUUUUAGAGAUGGAGAAGUCUUUCGACAGUAGGAUGAGACCUUUACCUUAACAAAUAAAAAAGAGGAUGGGCACAGUGAAUUCUGCCUGGCAUCCCAGCACUCUGGGAGGCCAAGGUGGGUGGAUCACCCGAAAUCAGGAGUUUGAGACCAGCCUGACCAACAUGGUGAAAUCCUGUCUCUACUAAAAAUACAAAAAUUAGCUGGGCUUGGUGGCGCAUGCCUGUAAUCCCAGCUACUCGGGAGGCUGAGGCAGGAGAAUCGCUUGAACCCAGGAGGCAGAGGUUACAGUGAGCUGAAUUCAUGCCAUUGCACUCCAGCCUGGGCAACAAGAGCAAAACUUUCUCAAAAAAAUAAUAAUAAAGAUAAAAAAGAAUUACAAGGUAAAUUAUAUAUUUUUGAGUGGAUGGAGGGCCUGUCGGUCAGCAUAAUAUAGCUCCCACAACCAAACUGCCUACCUUGCACUGGGCUAGAAGGCACAGCCUGUUCUUGAUAACCUACACUAAUGGAACCUGGAGGGAAGCUAGGAUGUGGAUGAUCAGAAUCUCAUUUUUUUACUUCAGAACGCAUUCUUUGUUGGUUCAUUAGAUGUGGCUGCUAACUUUGUUUUUCAUGGGCCAAUACUUAAAUUACUUACAUUCAUUAAGCAGUCACUAACCAUCAAAAGGGAAAGCAAACCAAAGUGUGCAGAGGGCUGGAGAAGGCAAUCUCCAGGACAAAAAUCUGCUACAGAAAACACAGAAAAUGAAUAACUCACAUUCUAAUAUUCACUUUAGAGUUGGAAGAGACCUUUUCUGGGGAGGCUUGGGGUCAUACUGAGAGGGACAGAAGCAGCACCAGCUUCUGAGUCUCUAUCACAAACACAAAAGGCGAUUGCUUUCUACAGGGUCUUAGAUGCCCAGGUCUCACUUGCCUCCUAACCACCGCAGGAGUCACUCCUUCCCUCAGCCAGCUGUCUUUCCCUUCUUUUCCCUUCCACCUCCCAGCAGUGUUGGCCUGCUUGGCUAAGCCCUCCCUUCCCCUUCAGAUUUCAGCUUGGACCUCACCUCCUCCAGGAAGCCUGUCCUGGCCUCUCUUCGCGAUCCUAGAGUAUUCCAUCUCUCCAGUCUCUACAUUUAAGCCCACUACGCUGUGAUUUCCUGAUUGUCUCCCACAGUGGGGCAAAGCCGAGGACAAGGAUCACAUCAGUCUUAUUCCCCACCACAGUCCCCAGCAACUAGCACAACACCUGAUAGACAUAUGAUUUAUGGAACAGAUGAACAGAAGUGGCAGUAACUGGUUCCCCACUUGCACACACAUGCGCACACACACGAUGUGACAUUCUUAUGCUGAAUGUGAGCUAUUCAGAACAAAAUUUAGAAACACUGACAGUUUCAAUAGUAAUUUUUGUGUCCAUCUGGAGAAUUCUUAAAUGUCACAGCUGCCAAAUGGAAUGCUCCCCCAUUUUAGGCCUCUGCAGCCUUGACAUCAUCCAUUUAUAAGUGACCUGCUAGCUUCACAAUGAACCAGAUAAAGGCUCACACGCUGAGUGCCCCUCACAGCAAAAGUGCCCCUCACAGCAAAAGUAUGGGAGGUGUGGGUGCAGGAAAACCGUUUAUCUGCCAAAUUCACUCUAACCUUCCCUAACCCUCCAGACAGUCCACAUCAUCUUAAAAUCUUUGCAGGCCACCUUUGCUAACUGCUUGAGGGGCAAGCCAAGUAGAACACUCAUUACGGCUCAAUUAUAGAUAUCUAUAUGUAUGGAACACCACAUCUGAGGACUGCUGAGCUAAAAUAGCCCAGUCAAACAAUAAGCUCACAUUCUUGGCUACUGGGAGAAGAUUUUAGAUGUAUUAACUUAUGUAGCUUUGUAGAAGUUCUGUCUUAGUUCAUUUAGAAUUUACUGUGGAAGUAAAAGCAAUGAAAGCAAAUGUUCUUUGAAUGUCUUCAAAGGAAAGUUCCACCCAUAAAAGGCCAUCCAUAAACACUUGGUUAAUGGAGUAGCUACAUAACAUAAAAGUAAUACACAUGGCAUCAAAUGCUGUGCUACAGCUAGGAGAAAGUCUGUAUUUUAUAUAGGUGAUUAAUUUGGGGGAAGUCAAGGAGUGCUCUGAUGAUAUUUCACAUCUACAGUCAAACUGAGAGUGGUUUGAAAAAAUGGCCAUCAGAACAGAAUAAAAAUGUUUCCCCUUUUUCUCUGGCUGCCUAGUCAAAGAAUCACUGUUUUCUCCUUGUCUCUCUAAUUCAUUCCAAACACUGGCAAAGGGCCCAUUAUCCAAGUGGGCUAGUGUAAGGUAUGGCAUUUGGGUAAAAAUAACACAAAUGAUACUGAAAGGAUGAUAGAUCCUGAAGAGUCACAGUAUACAUUUUCUUGUCAUUAAAAGCCACACAAAGAAUUGCUUUCUACACUCGACAAAAUGCCGGCUGCAUCAAAAAGCAAAGCAAAAGGCCACAGCUCCCCCUGUGCACGAAGUCAUAAUCCAUCCACUCUAAGAAUGCUUCGUGCAAGGUCUGCAGGUCCCAUGGAGAGACCACACAGCAGGAGACGACCCCACAGAAGGGGAGACGGAGAAACCACCUGCAGACAGCUCGAAAUCUGGAAAGAUGAAGGCUAACUGAGCUUAUGACACUGAGAAUCAGGUGAAGGGGGACUUAAAAAAAAUUAAAGACAGUACAUUUAUUUAAACUGUCCCUUUUCAUAAUUCACUGAACUUUAUCACAGGUCAGUAUCUUCAUUCUGUUGUCUUAGUGGAUACAUUCAUUAGUGUUAUAUAAAACUUCAUAUAAAGUUAAAGAAGAAUUAGAGUACAGCUAAGAACAGAGCUGUGACGUGUGAGAGGAUUCACCAUUGCAAACCCUAGUCCUUAUGUGGCUAUUUUUUCCUGUUUCAAGCAACAACUUUAGGUUAUUUGAAUUAGGUUAUAUUCUGGAAUAUUAUAAGGGACAUCUUUUUAAAUAAAGAAAACUACUACUUUAGAUAACAGGGAGAACACUUCAGAGGACUCAUUACCUCAUAGUAUCGUAAAGGCUGACAACCAUAUGAAAGGACAGAAUGACCUUGUUCUUCACAAAGUGUCCCUUGGUGGCAGAUACAGUACACUAGAAUCCCAAACUGCCAGGACCAUGGCCGGACCCGGGUUGAGAAUUUCCUCAUUCUUUUCACUUCCUCUUUGCAGAAAAGAUUUUCUUGGAAUUCCUAUGCCCCUGGCCUUGACUCUGGAGCCAGGGGUCAGGUGACUCACAGCUGAAGAAGUGUGGCUGCUAUUAAAACAUGCCAGAGGAGAGCUUACGACGGCCACUAUUGUUAAGAGUAUCAUUAACGGUGUCAAAAUUCUUGUCAAAAAUCCUGUGUUGCCCCAUAAAUAUAUACACCUACUAUGUAUCCACAAAAAUUUAAAAAAAUCUUACUUUGAAUUACAAAAAAAGGAAGCAGAACAGUAUCUAAUAAAUGACAAAGUGCUUUUCAUGUCUUCUCAGUUGAUCUCCAGCACAACUGUAUGCACUAAUGACUACUAGGCAUUGUUCUGAACGGACAGGAAAGCAAACUCAUAUGUUAAGGGACUUGCCCUGUGGGUCAGUCAGUAUCAAAGCUGAAACCAGGAGCAGAGACCAGGUCUCUGACCUCUCAGGGCCGGCUUGCAAAUUCCCUAGGGGCCUGCUCUUGGGAACACAGGGCGGGUGUUCCGGGAGGGAGGGGCGUGGGGAAGAGAAGGCAGCCUGGCAGUGACUCUGUGCUGUGCUCUGGCUCCUGCCGUUGCCCUUUCACAACCACCAGCCACCACCCACCACCUCACAACCACCAGCCACCACCCACCACCUCACAACCACAAAAUCAAUUUUCCACACUGCUUUUCAAAGACAGAAAUGGAGGAAAUGGUUGUGGUAGCAAAUAAGUACUUUUCCAAGCCAUUCUGUCCUAAACCAUCUGCUCUGGAAAACUCAAAUGGCGACCAAGUGGAGUUUUUUUCCUCCCUCACGGUGCUGUGCCCUCCUGAUUAAAAGGGAGACAAAACAUACACUUAAUUCUUUACACCAGAAUUGACAGACCCAUGUUGGCCACUGCAGUUUUAUUUUUCUGUGAUUUAUGCAGAACUUUCAACCUGGCAGACAGAAAGUAGACAUAUUUUAAAGGUACUAGGUACUUACAUAUUGAAGGAUUAUAACCAGCGGGGUUAGCAGUAUAUUCAAAACAGGAUUUAACCUGGAGGCUGAAUAAAAUCAAACACAUAUUUCUUAAAAGAUCCAUUAUUGCAGUGGAAAAAACCCAACAUGUUCCCUAGCUCUCCAAUCCCCCCAAUGCCCAUUGAUGAUCAACAUGUUAUAAAAACACUUGACAGACCCUCUUCCCUUUGCCCAGCACUCCUGUCAUCUUCCCUGUGGCUCCUCAGGACAAUAGAGUCAUCAUGAAGUGGAGGUGGGAAACUGAGGGGGAUCCCACCAAGACAGAGGGAUGCUCACCAUAUCCCACUAGGCGCCCCACACGCUGUUUUCUGGCGGAGGUCAAUUCUGUUAGGAGUUACUGUGAUGGUUUUCUGAAUAUUAAUCACAGGCCGGGAUCUGAAGACAAAAGGAGUGAAAAACAAGCUCAGCCUCUGUUACCUUGAAUGUGAGUCUAAUUCACAUACUAGAGAGCAUCCUUAGCUGCCCAGCACAGCUUAAAAACACAGGAAAAAAAAUACACGUGACGUUUUCCCCCAUUGCUGAAGAAAAUAACUGUUAAUAGAUAUAAAUGUAUACAAUGCAGAGCCUCAUUAUACAAUAUUUGUUUAAAAACGUACACACUUAUGAGUACAUGUGCAACAUGUGGGGGUUAAAGUAAAUAUUUUGUCUCCAUUCCCACCCGAACACCCAAGUAGCCUUGUAUGUUCUUCCAGACACGUCAGUUAAAAUUAUCUAAAAUUAAAUAUUAAAAUAUAUGUAUAAUUUCAACUAAAUGGGAACUUAAUUGCCAUUGUUCUGUAUGUGGCUUUUUCUCAUCCAUUUCAGAGGUCUUGUCCUGUAUAUACACAUAGAUCUAGUUCACUGUUUUUCACACCUGAUGGCGUUACACUGUAUCAGUGUAACAUCCUUUAUUUAACCAGUACCUAAUCGGUAGACAUUCACGUUGUUGAGCUUUCUGCUUUCACAAACAUCAUCUGUGCACACACUUGAGUUUAUCUGUGGGAUAAAUUCCCAGCAGCAGAAUUUUGGAGUCAAAGAAUAUGUGCAUUUUUAAUUACGAGUAGUCUUGCCAACAUACCCUCUGGAAGAAUUACACCAACAAACACCUAAUACCUGAGAUGCUCAUGAUCAGCGUGUCUACAGUAUGUGAAUUAAUACAGGCAAUCCUGAACUUGGGAGUCUCCAUUGUACAAACACUUGCCCUUCUCUUCAGCCUCCCUCGGAGUCUCCCACCCACAACCUUCAGUCUUUGCCUUCCUAUUGCCAGGAUUGACAACUUUUCUACCCCCACGAUAUCUCUGCAAGCAAAAACUUAAACUUUUAAACUUCUUCCCAUCUCUGCGCUGCCUACUGCAACCCCGCAAACACUUGAGAAGCUGGAAUCCAAUUCCACGCCCUACUCUGGUUCACCAUCUGAAAACAUCUUUUCGUAUGUUUUGGCUGCCCUGCUCCCAGCAGCCACAGGGGUCUCCACGGGUCUGUGGCCCAACUGCUGCCACAGGCACAAGAAAUGCAGGUAUGCGGUGGGUUGAGGGGUAUGAGUGGGUGAGGAGGCCCACCUCCAUUGCUCCCCACCAGAACUCAGAAUGGGGCCUGGGGUUUCAUUACCACGUGGAUUCAGUUAGGCUGACUCUGAUGGGCUUGUGGUAAACCCAGCCAUUCUGGAGAACAGUGUUUCUACAAGAAAAUGCAUUCCAAAUCCCAAACAGCUAGCUCGAACUUCUGGAAUCAAUCUGUUGGUAGGCUAGAGCACAAGUCCAUUCACAGUGAAGGUAGGGUCCAAUAAAGGGUCAAAUACUGCCCACAUUCCCUGUUUUUCCAUUUUCCUUUAUUGUUUACCAUUCUAUUUUUAUUUUACAUUUAGACAGCUGCUAGGUUCUAAGAUACUAACUAGAUACAUUCUUAAGUUUUGAGAGCAUAUUUAAAAGGCACAGUUGCCACAGAUAUAGUAUUUUACAUACUGUAGAAUUUUAACAGACAUUUCUGCCUAGAACAUAUUUUGUUUUUUAAACAUACAACACACAAUUUUGAGGGCAAAAUAUACAUGAAUUAUGAAAACUGUGUCUUUUAACAUAGAAAAUAAGUCUUAUUAGUUUGGCUGCCUCAUGUUUAAAAUUGGUGUUUAUUUACUAACUACCCUGAAGUGCUAGUACAAUUUAGUAGAAAAAAUGCACAGGAUUCAAGUCAGGAAGAUUUAGGUGCUACAUUCUGUCCUCUCAGGCUCCAGCCUUAAAAGCUCAAGCCAAGUCCUGGGCCUCAGUUUCCUCAUUUGUAAAAUAAGGGGAAGUUACUCCUCUUCUUAUCAAAGGGUUGUUGAAUUCUACUUUCACACUAUCUGCAAGUAAAGAGGGAACAAGUGUACAGGGUUGACAGUCAACCUACUUAUGAGGACAGGAAAGUAAGGAUAUUAAAAUAUCAGUUACACAUAGACAGGGGCAAACAUUUAACUGACUAAAGUUAAGUCAUCUAUUGUAUUGACAAGGAGAGAUAGCCCAAGAUUAAAUAAAAACCAGAUUAGACAGCAGAAGUUACAGUGUAGCCUUUUGAUGAUACCCUAAAAGUAGAGAAAUGCAC
rnacentral:lncRNA from 1 species